rnacentral:rRNA from 1 species
UACGGGGGGGGCAAGCGUUGUUCGGAAUUACUGGGCGUAAAGGGCUUGUAGGUGGCCAACUAAGUCAGACGUGAAAUCCCUCAGCUUAACUGGGGAACUGCGUCUGAUACUGGAUGGCUUGAGUUUGGGAGAGGGAUGCGGAAUUCCAGGUGUAGCGGUGAAAUGCGUAGAUAUCGGGAGGAACAUCAGUGGCGAAGGCGGCCAUCUGGACUGACACUGACACUGAGACACGAAAGCGUGGGGAGCAAACAGG